UGAACCUGCGGAAGGAUCAUUAU
rnacentral:rRNA from 15 species